CUUUCUUUUGUUUUGUUUUGUCUGCACCUUCUCCCUUCCUUCGAAACUCCCCCAUUUCUCUCUUCUUCUUCCCCGUGAAACACACACACACACACACCCAUGCCCACACCUAUAGCUCUUUUCUAACCCCGUGGUUGUGUUUUGGACGUCAAACCACGAAGAAAUCACCUUGGAGACAUUCCCCAGUUUUCCGGCGAGCACCGUCCCUUUCGAGGCGAUUUCCGGCCAAAACACGGCGAGUUGGCCGGCGUGCAAGUUUCCGGCGGACACCCGUGACUUCCAGGCUGUUUUCCGGCCAACUCCGGCCACGAUGAUGGGAACCAAGGGAAUCAAUAACAAAUUUUAAUGUCUUUUCACAAGACGAAUGAGGCAAACAAUAUGAAAAUUGAGCAAGACUUUCUUUUUGUAGAUUUUUCGCAAAUGGAAAAUUGGAGGUGCGGAGAAUGCACAUGAUAUUUUGGCAUUGUGCAACACGAGAAAAAAAUUGGAAGGAUUUUUUUUGUUUUGUUUUUGUGGCAAAUUUUGUGCACUCUAGAAAUUUGAAGUGGAGGUUGCACCAUUUUCUUUUUGAAUUGUACUAUCUUAAGUUAAAAUAACUUGUAGUUGUGUUCAUAUAUUAUUAGAAAAAUGGAGACAAUACUCUUAUUGAUUAUUAAUUCAUCUUCUUUAUGUUAAACUACAAAAUGACGUACACACAUAGCAUAAGAAUAAAACCUAACAAUCUGUUUGGUUGAAAAUAAUUUAUAUUACUAAAGAAUUGUAAAAUGAUGGAAAUUGAAAUGACAAAAUUUUAUUAUCUAGAACUUGUGAAUUUGCUUGUUUGACUAACCUAAAAGAACAAUAGAAUUGAAUACAGAAUUUGUUAUUUUUAAACUCUCAUUUAUAGAAAUAUGAAAAUAACAUCUAUUUACAUGAAACAAAAUUUAGGAAUUGAAGGUACCAAAUUCUAAGUUUUUUUUUUUUCCAUGCCAAAAUUCUAAAUUUAUAUGUCCUCCUCUAAACAUAAGGCUGGCUUGGGAUUGCUUAAUUUUUUUUUUUUUUAAAAGUUGGAACCAUAAAUUGUGUUUGGUUAGAAAAAAGAGUUUUUUUUUUUUUCCUUCAAUUGUGGAUCAAAAACAAUAGAAAGCAAAAUCAGGUUAGACUCUAAAAGAGCACUUUUUUUUCAUAGAAGCGCGUAAGAAUUGUCAAUUAAUGAAACAUUUAUGCUGACAAUACUAUCCUUCUCUCGCGCUCUCUCCUCUCUCUCUCAUCUGGUUCGGGCAUAGCCCAUCUAUCCUCUUCAUCUCCUCCGGUUCAAGCACUCUUCACCAACAACAGGUGAGUUUUCUUUCGUUUCAAUUUCUAAUUUGCUUAUUUUGACAAUUUAUUGUUGGAAUAUUGAAAUAUUGAACUGAUUCAACUAUAAGUCAUUUUCUUCAUUUUUCUGCAAUUGAUUUUUGUUCCAAAAUGAUUGAAAUUUGCUGAUUAAUUUGGUUAAAUUCUAUUUUUAAUUAAUUUCUGGGACUUGAGGUGGAUUAAUUUCUUUGGUUAAUUUGGUUAGAAUCGUUUUUUCCCGUAUAAUUAGUUGAUUAGUUGUAAUUUAGUUUGGUGAUUAGUUUUUGGAUGAUACUGGAAGAUUUGAUUGCUGUUAAAUUAAAUUUACACAGACAUGGAUACUCUCUUUCACGUGGUAUCAGCGAAAACAUGUCUGCAACAUAAAUUUACACCGGCAUGUGGAUAGUGAGCUUUUCAAAAGUAGUUUUUUUAUUUGGACCAAAAGAUAAAAAAAUAGUAUGAGUCGCAUGAAAUGGAAGAUUGCAGAAUCAUAGUAAGCAUAUGAUUUUGAGCAGGCAAUGAACAUCUCAGAGCCUUAUCUCUGGCUCAUAAUUACAAUUAUGUUAUGUAAGUCUUGAUGAUGUUGUGGUUUUUUUUGCUUUAUUGCGUGACUUGUUGUGGUCUCCAUUCCAGAUCCAUAUACAUCAUAUAGCUUCUGAUGUUGUUGUGGUCUCCAUUGAACGUUGUGUCUUGUUUUGCUCUAUUAAUAAAAUUCAAAGUUUUCAAGUCUUUUUCAUUAGUUUUCCUUUAAUAUUAUAUAUAUAAGGAUGGCAAAAAAGGUGGGAACUUCAGCAAGAGCUCCACAUGGUACAUGCAAUGAUCAUAAUAUAUCCGUAUUCAGUGAGUUGUGCAUCAAGGAUGUUGAGUUCAGACAUUGUCUUGGCCCUCACUUUAACAAAGAAAGAUCGGCAAAUUUGAUAGAAAACUUUAGGAAAGAAACAGGAAAUUCUUAUAGUAAAGCGCAAUUGAAAAAUAAGUGAGAUAGACUAAAAAAGAAUUGGUAGUUGUGCAAAAAACUAAUUGGGAAAGAAACUGGCCUAGAGUGGAAUCCAAGCAAGGGAACAAUGGAUGCCUUUGAUGAAUAGUGGAAUAAUAAGAUUCAGAUAAAUCCUGAAUAUGGAAGAUUGCAGAAAGGCAUCACUCUUGAGUUCGAGGAAAAGUUGGAAAAGUUCUCUUCACCCCAACAUGGUUGAUGUACAUAGUUUCACAUUGUCUCUGAAUAAAAUUUAACUGACUAGGUGAAUUCUUAUCAUCUCCUUGUGAAGAUCCAACCUUUGUUGUUUCUUAUUCUAACCUUUCCGCUACCUGCUGUAGUUCCUUAAUUUCUGUCACAAAAGCUCACCCAGUCUUUCUUCUUCAGGAGUUUCUUCCUGAUGUGCAUCAAGUUAACUAGAUUCGGCUUCUGUUCCUAUGAUUUGAUGACAUUCCAAUAGCGUUGGCGACACAGCAAAGUUAGAGGAAGCUAGAACCUCAGUUGUUACCUCCAGAGGAUGCAUGAGAAAGGAAGUGUGUGAUUUUCGUCAUUGGUGCAUGCUGCCCCAAGUCAUAAACUGGCCUCUACUCAACUGUGAGACCUCCAUCAGUCCAUUGAAUACCUCAGAUCGGCAUCUACUCGAUUAUUACGCCUCCAUUGGCCCUCACGUGCUUCAUAUUCGAUACUUUUGUACUUGGGUACUCCACUCUGCCUGUAUCUGUGAACCGAUCCAUAUUUUUAGCAAUGUAUAAAUAUAAAAUAGUAGCGAAAAACACUUCAAAAAUCAAUUUAUAAUACAAAAUCACUCAGCCGUCAACUAUGUUCA